GGGUUGUGAGGUUAAGCGACUAAGCGUACACGGUGGAUGCCCUGGCAGUCAGAGGCGAUGAAGGACGUGCUAAUCUGCGAUAAGCGUCGGUAAGGUGAUAUGAACCGUUAUAACCGGCGAUUUCCGAAUGGGGAAACCCAGUGUGUUUCGACACACUAUCAUUAACUGAAUCCAUAGGUUAAUGAGGCGAACCGGGGGAACUGAAACAUCUAAGUACCCCGAGGAAAAGAAAUCAACCGAGAUUCCCCCAGUAGCGGCGAGCGAACGGGGAGCAGCCCAGAGCCUGAAUCAGUGUGUGUGUUAGUGGAAGCGUCUGGAAAGGCGCGCGAUACAGGGUGACAGCCCCGUACACAAAAAUACACAUACUGUGAGCUCGAUGAGUAGGGCGGGACACGUGGUAUCCUGUCUGAAUAUGGGGGGGCCAUCCUCCAAGGCUAAAUACUCCUGACUGACCGAUAGUGAACCAGUACCGUGAGGGAAAGGCGAAAAGAACCCCGGCGAGGGGAGUGAAAAAGAACCUGAAACCGUGUACGUACAAGCAGUGGGAGCACGCUUAGG
rnacentral:rRNA from 1 species